AUCAAUAAUUUGAGAGAGCGCGUGGCGUCGCCGGCUGAGCGCGAGCCAGUGGUGAAUCGGUUUGUUUACAUGCGAGGAGAGGCCGAGAAACCCUCCACUUCUCACCUUCUUUUCUCGCGUCUCGUACUUUGAUUUCCUCCUCUGACACCGCCACCUCCUUCUCCAAGGCCUCCUCGACCCAGAGACACCCCAAACACAACCCCAGGAACCCCGCCAUCGCCUAGACAGAGCGUUUAAAAGGCAUCGACCCCCGUUGAGAGCACCCAACAGGACCUCGGCGAAGGGAGCCUCUGUAUCACGAUGUCGUUUGUGGGUUUUCGCAGCAGGUCUCAGUUGGGCUUGAGACUCUUAGCGACACACACGCGCGGCCUCUCCUCCCACCGAGCCAAGAUGGAGCAGCGCGUGAUCACUCUGGAGAACAUGAAUCCGCUGGUGAAGAAGAUGGAGUACGCGGUGAGGGGCCCUUUGGUCAUCCGCGCGACGGCCAUCGAGAAGGAGCUGCAGGCGGGGGCGAAGAAGCCGUUCAACAGCGUGACCAAGGCGAACAUCGGGGACGCGCAUGCCAUGGGACAGAAGCCCAUCACCUUCCUCAGACAGGUACUGUGCUGCUGCCGGAGUCUCUGCAGGGGGCGAGGGAGAGAGAGAGGGAGAGAGAGAGAGAGAG